AGAGUUUGAUCAUGGCUCAGGACGAACGCUGGCGGCGUGCUUAACACAUGCAAGUCGAACGGAAAGGCUCCUUCGGGAGUGCUCGAGUGGCGAACGGGUGAGUAACACGUGGGUGAUCUGCCCUGCACUUUGGGAUAAGCCUGGGAAACUGGGUCUAAUACCGGAUAGGACUACGGGAUGCAUGUCCUGUGGUGGAAAGCUUUUGCGGUGUGGGAUGGGCCCGCGGCCUAUCAGCUUGUUGGUGGGGUGAUGGCCUGCCAAGGCGACGACGGGUAGCCGGCCUGAGAGGGUGUCCGGCCACACUGGGACUGAGAUACGGCCCAGACUCCUACGGGAGGCAGCAGUGGGGAAUAUUGCACAAUGGGCGCAAGCCUGAUGCAGCGACGCCGCGUGGGGGAUGACGGCCUUCGGGUUGUAAACCUCUUUCAGCUCCGACGAAGCGCAAGUGACGGUAGGAGCAGAAGAAGCACCGGCCAACUACGUGCCAGCAGCCGCGGUAAUACGUAGGGUGCGAGCGUUGUCCGGAAUUACUGGGCGUAAAGAGCUCGUAGGUGGUUUGUCGCGUUGUUCGUGAAAACUCACAGCUUAACUGUGGGCGUGCGGGCGAUACGGGCAGACUGGAGUACUGCAGGGGAGACUGGAAUUCCUGGUGUAGCGGUGGAAUGCGCAGAUAUCAGGAGGAACACCGGUGGCGAAGGCGGGUCUCUGGGCGGUAACUGACGCUGAGGAGCGAAAGCGUGGGGAGCGAACAGGAUUAGAUACCCUGGUAGUCCACGCCGUAAACGGUGGGUACUAGGUGUGGGUUUCCUUCCUUGGGAUCCGUGCCGUAGCUAACGCAUUAAGUACCCCGCCUGGGGAGUACGGCCGCAAGGCUAAACUCAAAGGAAUUGACGGGGCCCGCACAAGCGGCGGAGCAUGU
rnacentral:rRNA from 1 species